rnacentral:rRNA from 1 species
UACGUAGGGGGCAAGCGUUGUCCGGAUUCAUUGGGCGUAAAGAGCGUGUAGGCGGCCAGGUAGGUCGGUUGUGAAAACUGGAGGCUCAACCUUCAGAGGUCGACCGAAACCAUCUGGCUAGAGUCCGGGAGAGGAGAGUGGAAUUCCUGGUGUAGCGGUGAAAUGCGCAGAUAUCAGGAAGAACACCCGUGGCGAAAGCGGCUCUCUGGAACGGUACUGACGCUGAGACGUGAAAGCGUGGGGAGCGAACAGG